rnacentral:rRNA from 1 species
CGAAUGCUGACAUAAGUAACGAUAAUGCGGGUGAAAAACCCGCACGCCGGAAGACCAAGGGUUCCUGUCCAACGUUAAUCGGGGCAGGGUGAGUCGACCCCUAAGGCGAGGCCGAAAGGCGUAGUCGAUGGGAAACAGGUUAAUAUUCCUGUACUUGGUGUUACUGCGAAGGGGGGACGGAGAAGGCUAUGUUAGCCGGGCGACGGUUGUCCCGGUUUAAGCAUGUAGGCGGAGGU